GGGGUAGUAAAGGUUUCGACAGGGGUUUUGAAGCUGGAGAAGCGAGCCGCAGGGUGAUGCGUUAAAUUCCAAAAUUAAAAUUAAACGCUAACAAUAAUAAAGAAUUAGCUCUUGCUGCCUAAUUGCAGCAUGUGUCUGCUCUAGUGCACCUACACAUUAGAAGUCAGGCAUCAACGAUGUAGGAAACGACGUAUGCUAAGCUUUGCGCAUACGGGCGUAUGAUGAAGCUACUAAAAGCAGUACCGUGUCUGUACGGGACUGCCGGAGGGAAUGUUAAUAUAUAGACUACGCUCGUAGAAGUACAGGGGAUAGGUCUUUGGACACGGGUUCGAUUCCCGUCUACUCCAUCU
rfam:Roseburia sp. CAG:182 genomic scaffold, scf201